CAGCCAUGGAACCCAAGGGUUCCUUCCGAGGGUCUGGCUGGGCCUGGAGUGUGGUCAGGUGGGCCCUAGCUUUGUUCAUGGUCCUGUCUCCGGGGAAGAGGGAGGGGGGCUGUGGAAGGCGGCAAUUAUGAUGACGCCUGGCAACCGUCGGGCUGCAUUCUCAGCACAGAUGUGGACAGGAGCAGGCCGCGACCCCCUGUCCAGCUGAGGCGUCUGGAAGGAGCAGCUGCCCUCACGCUGCCUGGAGCCUGUCCACCUGGCAAGCGGCCUUUGGGAUCAGCCAAGGGAGCAAGUACUCCGAGCCCUGCAGACCGGCCGAGGCCCGUGGGGGGCACCCUGAAGGGGACCCUGUGGGGGAGGUGAGGACAGCUGGCUCCGUGCCCCAAAGCCCCAGCCCCGUGAGGAGAGCAAACUUCCCCAUCUGGGAAGCCCCUCUCCCCCGCACCCACUCCAACCUCACACACUGUAUCGGUCUCCGGCAGCUGCUGUAACACGGCAUCACAGACGCCAUGGCUGAACACAGACUUGUUACCUUAUGGCUCUGGAGGUCAGAAGUCCGAACUGGGUCGUACUGGGCUAACACCAAGCUGUCAGUAGGGCCCUGUUCCUUUCUGGAGGCUCUAGGGGAGAAUUCAUUUUCUCACCUUUUCCGGCUUUUAU
rnacentral:lncRNA from 1 species